rnacentral:sRNA from 1 species
ACAAAUAGUUUCCAACGCUGCAGAGUGUGGGUAUACCGUCUCGUAUUACUAUCGACCCAAACCCGUCCUACCAUCUAAUUCCGUUCAGUGAAAUUAAACAUUAUUUUGUUAUUUUUGUUUUAAUAGUAUUUUAAUUUAAAAGAUAUAUAAUUCAACAGAUAUCGUAGAGAAGAAAUCUCGGAAAAAGUAUGUUGGGAGUAAUUAGUUGAUGAAAAAAAUCUCGGAUUAUAGAUAUGUGAAUGAAACCGUGUAGAAUUUCUGGGAAAAAUUUA